rnacentral:hammerhead_ribozyme from 1 species
AUCCAGCUGAUGAGUUUUAAGUAGGACGAAACGCGCGUCCUGGAU